GGCCUUGUCGUCCAACGGACAAGACAUCGGGUUUUCAACCCGGAAACCGGGGUUCAACUCCCCGCAAGGCUA
rnacentral:tRNA from 1 species